rnacentral:rRNA from 1 species
GCUGGCGGCGUGCCUAACACAUGCAAGUCGAGCGAGAAAAGGGGGGCAACUCCCUGAGUACAGCGGCGCACGGGUGAGUAACACGUAGGUAACCUGCCCUCGAGCCUGGGAUAACCUACCGAAAGGUGGGCUAAUACCGGAUAUGACCACGGGAGUUACGGCUUCUGCGGUGAAAGAUGGCCUCUGCUUGCACGCCAUUUCUCGAGGAUGGGCCUGCGCGCCAUUAGCUAGUUGGCGGGGUAAUGGCCCACCAAGGCUAUGAUGGCUAGCUGGUCUGAGAGGAUGACCAGCCACACUGGGACUGGAACACGGCCCAGACUCCUACGGGAGGCAGCAGUGGGGGAUAUUGCGCAAUGGGCGAAAGCCUGACGCAGCGACGCCGCGUGGGUGAUGAAGGCCUUCGGGUCGUAAAGCCCUGUCGAGGGGGACGAACCGGCUGCGAUCGAAUAGAUCGCAGCCCUGACGGUACUUCUAAAGGAAGCACCGGCUAACUCCGUGCCAGCAGCCGCGGUAAUACGGAGGGUGCGAGCGUUGUUCGGAAUCACUGGGCGUAAAGCGCGUGUAGGCGGCCUGCUAAGUCUGAUGUGAAAGCCCGAGGCUCACCCUC